rnacentral:rRNA from 1 species
UACGUAGGGUGCAAGCGUUGUCCGGAAUUAUUGGGCGUAAAGAGCUCGUAGGCGGUUUGUCGCGUCUGCUGUGAAAACUCGGGGCUUAACUCCGGGCCUGCAGUGGGUACGGGCAGACUAGAGUGCGGUAGGGGAGACUGGAAUUCCUGGUGUAGCGGUGAAAUGCGCAGAUAUCAGGAGGAACACCGGUGGCGAAGGCGGGUCUCUGGGCCGAUACUGACGCUGAGAAGCGAAAGCAUGGGGAGCGAACAGG